rnacentral:rRNA from 1 species
GGUAUGCACUGGCUUCGCUGAUUCCUCCUUUCUGAAGAACUGUAAUGCCAUUAAUUUGGUGUUGCAGGGAAACAGGACUGUUACUUUGAAAAAAUUAGAGUGUUUAAAGCAGGCUAACGCUUGAAUACAUUAGCAUGGAAUAAUGAAAUAGGACGUUUGAUCCUAUUUUGUUGGUUUCUAGGAUUGACGUAAUGAUUAAUAGGGAUAGUUGGGGGCAUUAGUAUUCAAUUGUCAGAGGUGAAAUUCUUGGAUUUAUUGAAGACUGACUACUGCGAAAGCAUUUGCCAAGGAUGUUUUCAUUAAUCAAGAACGAAAGUUAGGGGAUCGAAGACGAUCAGAUACCGUCGUAGUCUUAACCAUAAACUAUGCCGACUAGGGAUCGGAUGAUGUUAAUUUUUUAAUGACUCAUUCG